AGGAGUGUGGCUUAGUGGAUUAGCAACUCUUUUGCAUGCAGAAGGUCCCAGGAUCAAUCCUGGCAUUUCCA